rnacentral:rRNA from 1 species
GUGGGGAAUCUUGCGCAAUGGGCGAAAGCCUGACGCAGCCAUGCCGCGUGAAUGAUGAAGGUCUUAGGAUUGUAAAAUUCUUUCACCGGGGACGAUAAUGACGGUACCCGGAGAAGAAGCCCCGGCUAACUUCGUGCCAGCAGCCGCGGUAAUACGAAGGGGGCUAGCGUUGCUCGGAAUUACUGGGCGUAAAGGGCGCGUAGGCGGACAGUUUAGUCAGAGGUGAAAGCCCAGGGCUCAACCUUGGAAUUGCCUUUGAUACUGGCUGUCUUGAGUACGGGAGAGGUGAGUGGAACUCCGAGUGUAGAGGUGAAAUUCGUAGAUAUUAGGAAGAACACCAGUGGCGAAGGCGACUCACUGGCCCAAUACUGACGCUGAGGCGCGAAAGCGUGGGGAGCAAACAGGAUUAGAUACCCGGGUAGUCC